CAGCUGGUGUCUUAUGAGGGGUGGCAAGGUCAUUUGACACAGGCUGAAGGUGGCCUGCACAGCUGCUUCACAGGACAGCAUGGAUAUUAUUGUACUGACUUAGAGCCUAUGCAGUUUGCUUGCUG